rnacentral:rRNA from 1 species
UAGUCCACGCCGUAAACGAUGUGUGCUAGACGUCGGGGCUUUUCAGCUUCGGUGUCGCAGAUAACUCAUUAAGCACACCGCCUGGGGAGUACGGUCGCAAGAUUAAACUCAAAGGAAUUGACGGGGGCCCGCACAAGCGGUGGAGCAUGUGGUUUAAUUCGAGGCAACGCGAAGAACCUUACCACCCCUUGACAUUACUCGUCGCGGAAGAUAGAGAUAUUUUCCUUCAGUUCGGCUGGACGAUGUACAGGUGCUGCAUGGCUGUCGUCAGCUCGUGUCGUGAGAUGUUGGGUUAAGUCCCGCAACGAGCGCAACCCUUAUCCUUAGUUGCCAGCAUUCAGUUGGGCACUCUAAAGNGACUGCCGGUGAUAAGCCGAGGAAGGCGGGAUGACGUCAAGUCCUCAUGGCCCUUAUCGGGUGGGCUACACACGUGCUACAAUGGCGGUGACAGUGGGAUGCGAUGGCGCGAGCCUGAGCUAAUCUCAAAACCGU